GGAAGUAAAAGUUCGUAACAAGGUUUCCGUAGGUGAACCUGCGGAAGGAUCAUUCAUAAUAAGUGUUCUACUGCACUUUUUAAAAAUAGUACUCACCUUGUGUGCAAUGUUGUGUUUCUUUUCGGAGAAACACCUACACCAACCUAUAACCUUGAACCACUUUGUCUGAAAAACUAUUAUGAAUACUUAAUUCAAAAUACAACUUUCAACAACGGAUCUCUUGGCUCUC
rnacentral:misc_RNA from 1 species